ACCAGCACAGACCAAUUAUGGCUUCUGCUUUGGCAGCGGGGCUGACAGACAGAGACUUUCUACAAUCUCAGAAUCAUCAAUACCUCAGAUUCCAGCAACCACGGUGCCCAAGAAUUUGGGGAGAGACUUUGCCCUAGCCCAGGCUGCUCCGAGCCCUGCCCAGCCUGGCCCUCAGCCCAGCUGCAGCUGAAACUCCACGGAACUGUGGUGAGUCAUUAAUUGCCUCCUUCCUAAUG
rnacentral:lncRNA from 1 species